UCUUUGUAUUGGAAUCAAAUAAUAAUAAUAUCAUUCUUCUAUUAUGACUUUGGUUGAGAGAUUUAUCAUAUUCCUAGUAUCAUAAAAAUAAAAUAAAAUAACAUAAUACACUCUCUUGAAGCACUAUUAUGAAGGAGGCAUGAGCUCUUCAUAAAAACAUCCGAGGAAAUAAAAAGGGACAAGAGUCCAAAACCUCACAAAGAUAGAUC
rnacentral:lncRNA from 1 species